UGGCCUUCUUUGCGGGUGGGACAUCAUCGCCAGGAAGGCGAUUUCCCCAGUGUGAGGCUCAACUCCUGCUCUCUGGGUGUGCUGGCUCUUCUGACUUCGUCAAAUAUAAGAAGCUCAGCUGCAUAAUCUGUGGUGAAGGGGGGUUGUGUUUAUUCUUUCUCCUA